rnacentral:sRNA from 1 species
UUUAUACAAGAAGCGGCCGUUUAGGCCAAAGGCUGGUGACUUUCUAGUCACCAGCCU